rnacentral:rRNA from 1 species
CCUACGGGUGGCAGCAGUGGGGAAUAUUGGACAAUGGGGGGAACCCUGAUCCAGCCAUGCCGCGUGUGUGAAGAAGGCCCUCGGGUUGUAAAGCACUUUCAGUGAGGAAGAACGCCUGGUGGUUAAUACCCAUCAGGAAAGACAUCACUCACAGAAGAAGCACCGGCUAACUCCGUGCCAGCAGCCGCGGUAAUACGGAGGGUGCGAGCGUUAAUCGGAAUUACUGGGCGUAAAGCGCGCGUAGGUGGCUUGAUAAGCCGGUUGUGAAAGCCCCUGGCUCAACCUGGGAACGGCAUCCGGAACUGUCAAGCUAGAGUGCAGGAGAGGAAGGUAGAAUUCCCGGUGUAGCGGUGAAAUGCGUAGAGAUCGGGAGGAAUACCAGUGGCGAAGGCGGCCUUCUGGACUGACACUGACACUGAGGUGCGAAAGCGUGGGUAGCAAACAGGAUUAGAUACCCGGGUAGUC